UCUAAUAUGGCAGAUUAGUGCAAUGAAUUUAAGAUUCAUAUAUAAAAUAUAUUUUUUGUUAGAA
rnacentral:tRNA from 1 species